rnacentral:rRNA from 1 species
CCUACGGGUGGCAGCAGUGAGGAAUAUUGGUCAAUGGGCGAGAGCCUGAACCAGCCAAGUCGCGUGAGGGAGUACUGCCCUAUGGGUUGUAAACCUCUUUUGUCGGGGAGCAAAAGCCGGACGUGUCCGGCUGUGAGAGUACCCGAAGAAAAAGCAUCGGCUAACUCCGUGCCAGCAGCCGCGGUAAUACGGAGGAUGCGAGCGUUAUCCGGAUUUAUUGGGUUUAAAGGGUGCGCAGGCGGAUUUUUAAGUCAGCGGUAAAAUCGUGGGGCUCAACCCCCGCCAGCCGUUGAAACUGGGGAUCUAGAGUGUGCGAGAGGUAUGCGGAAUGCGUGGUGUAGCGGUGAAAUGCAUAGAGAUCACGCAGAACCCCGAUUGCGAAGGCAGCAUACCGGUGCACAACUGACGCUCAGGCACGAAAGCGUGGGUAUCGAACAGGAUUAGAUACCCGGGUAGUC